rnacentral:lncRNA from 1 species
GUCCUGGGCGCUCUGCUCCCUGCACAGCUCUACCAGCGUGGCUCCACGGGUGGCUGAGAGGCGUGCCGGGGGCGGUCCUUACCUGCCCUUGUUCGCCAGUGUGUGUCGCCAGCCGGGCAGAGCUGGGCUCAGUCCUGAGCGCUCUGCCCUCUGCACGCCUCUACCCGCGCGGCUCCCCGGACAAGAAGAGGAAGGCAGAGCAGAACUUAAAGCCCGUGGUUGUGGCUGUAGGAAGUGGUGAGAAUGGCCGAAGUUUGGGAGGAGCCGUGUGGAGCCGGAACUGC